rnacentral:rRNA from 1 species
UACGUAGGUGGCAAGCGUUGUCCGGAUUUACUGGGCGUAAAGGGCGUGCAGGCGGUCUGUUAAGUGCAGGGUGAAAGCUCCCGGCUCAACUGGGAGAGGUCCUUGCAUACUGGCGGACUUGAGGGGGGUAGAGGAAAGUGGAAUUCCCGGUGUAGUGGUGAUAUGCGUAGAUAUCGGGAGGAACACCUGUGGCGAAAGCGGCGCACUGGACCAUAACUGACGCUGAGACACGAAAGCGUGGGUAGCAAACAGG